UGGGGAAUAUUGGACAAUGGGCGCAAGCCUGAUCCAGCAAUGCCGCGUGGGUGAAGAAGGUCUUCGGAUUGUAAAGCCCUUUCGACGGGGACGAUGAUGACGGUACCCGUAGAAGAAGCCCCGGCUAACUUCGUGCCAGCAGCCGCGGUAAUACGAAGGGGGCUAGCGUUGCUCGGAAUGACUGGGCGUAAAGGGCGCGUAGGCGGCGUUCAUAGUCAGGCGUGAAAUUCCUGGGCUCAACCUGGGGACUGCGCUUGAUACGUGAAUGCUUGAGUCUGGAAGAGGGUCGUGGAAUUCCCAGUGUAGAGGUGAAAUUCGUAGAUAUUGGGAAGAACACCGGUGGCGAAGGCGGCGACCUGGUCCGGCACUGACGCUGAGGCGCGAAAGCGUGGGGAGCAAACAGGAUUAGAUACCCUGGUAGUCCACGCUGUAAACGAUGUGCGCUGGAUGUUGGGCGACCUAGUCGCUCAGUGUCGUAGCUAACGCGAUAAGC
rnacentral:rRNA from 1 species